rnacentral:rRNA from 1 species
GUGUCAGCCGCCGCGGUAAUACCGGCAGCGCAAGUGAUGGCCGAUCUUAUUGGGCCUAAAGCGUCCGUAGCUGGCCAGGCAAGUCCAUCGGGAAAUCCACCCGCUCAACGGGUGGACGGCCGGUGGAAACUGCCCGGCUCGAGACCGGAAGACCCAACGGGUACGUCCAGGGUAGGAGUGAAAUCCCGUAAUCCUGGACGGACCGCCGAUGGCGAAAGCACGUUGGGAAGACGGAUCUGACAGUGAGGGACGAAAGCUAGGGUCUCGAACCGGAUUAGAUACCCUAGUAGUCC